rnacentral:lncRNA from 1 species
GGGGGUGGCACCAGGCUGUGAAGGAUCCACAGACUGGCAUAUGCAGGAGGAAAUGGGGCGGGCGAGGAGUAAGGACCCCAAAAAGCAGGGGUAGGGAAGGGCCCUCCCAGCGCCCCACUGUAAUAGGGGCCUCAUCAAUGCCCCAUGCUCACUGAAUAAAGCACUGCCAGCGAAAGGUGAAAAGAGGAACAAAGAACAUUCUCCUGGACGCCACCCACAGAAAGCCACGUGCAGGCUUGGCCCUCACCUUGGGGACCUUGGACACGGAGCUGGUUAUGUCACAUCUGGCUCUCAGAGCUGGGGCAGCGUCUAGGAGGCCUGAUGUAGAAAGCACUCAGCUAAGCCCUAGUUACCGGCACACGGGCACCAGCGCCCCCUCUCAGCAAACUCCACGUCUUAUGAAAUUAGCACUGGAUUUCCACUUCAAUUGGAAAAUAUGGCCAAGGUGGAGAACCCCUUCUUUAAGCAAAAGAUGGCACGGACCCCCGACAUAAGACAGUUCAAAGCUGAGCGGCUCUCCCCAUCAUGCAAGUAACCUGCGUGCCGCCACGGGAAACAGCACGCAUCCCAUCUGGACUCCCACCAGACAACUGAGGCAACCGAGAAGGAGGCUGGGGAGGGACAGCUCGAGGGCUCACUGGAGGUCAGCAGGGAGGUGGACUGCGUCUCCCGAGGGCCAGCACUGGCUUAGCCUGCUCAGUGAGGUGCCCGAAGGAGGCCCACCAGCUCUGCCAGCACCCGGCCUCUGCACCUCAGCUUUCAGCGGAUAGGUUUGUGCAACGAAAUAUUUCAUAGAAAUCAAGAAACAUGAGUGAACGAUGCACACCACCGCGUGGAUGAGUCUCAGAGACUGUGGAGCGAAAGAAGCCAGACACAAAGGUUGACAUUUACACGCAAUCCUAGAAUGACGGCUCUAUGGUGGCAGAGAGGAGAAAAGCAGUUAGCUUUGGCAGGUGCCCACGGAGGGGGCUAUGCAAUGGAACUUUCUGGGCCCUGGAGGUGUUGCAGAGUUUGCUAUGGGUGGUGGUAGUUACGUGGGUUUCUAUGAAUGUAAAAACUCUUGGUGUGGUAGACCCAAGCUCUGGGCACCUCACGCAUGCCAUGCAGCAGCUCGAUCUGUGACAGCGAGUCCUGUGUUCCAUGAUAUGGCUGCAAACACUUGACAGAGUGAAUGCCGAACCUCUGCUCCUAAGGGAAAUAGAGGGCCAGGUUCCUACGAGCCUCUGCUCCAGCCUUUUCAGCAACCAAUCAGUACACAAUAGAGUUAUUUAUGUGUUUCUGUUAAUAUAUGUCACUAAACUCCCGGCCAAGAGCACUACAACUCAUGCCUGUACAGAGCCUGUCCAACACAUGUAUUUUCUCCAUAGGACACAUCAUCUCAAAAGCAAGUAUUGAUCUUAUUUUAUCUCAUUUUCAAGAGAUGCAGACUGUUCUUAAGCAAGUACUGGUUUUAGGUUUACAAAUACAUUUUAGCGAGUAGGCAAAUUUGCAAGUACAGAAUCUGUAAAUAAUGAGAUUCUACUGUAUGUGUGUGCAAUAUUCAAAUGAAGAGGACAGAGCUUCCUGCCUGACACAAGCCCCUGACUGACUGCCCCACCCACCGUCCCUUCUAAGAGCAGCAGCCUGGUCCCAGCUCUUGCCUUCCCUCCUCAGACCAGGGAUAAGCCCUGACCAAUGUCUACCUCCUGCAGCCAGACACAGACAGGCUGACUCAGGUGCUCUUGGAGUUUGAACUGAGAAAUGCAAGAGAAGCUUGCAAAAUGCUGAGAGGCUCCACAAGGGGCUGCUGAAGCCCCAGCAGGCAAAGCUGCCAGCUACAGAGCAAAAAGCCAAGGGAGGGGCAGGGAUGUUGGAGGAAGGACCUGGCUGGAGGUGACUGGGGGCGGUCGUGUCCUUGUCAGCAAGCAUAGAGCAGAACAGCUGCCCAAGGUGCCACA